UCUGUCCUCCCGACCUCUCCUCUCCUUUGAUUGGUUGACACGGUUCCAUUCCGGGAAAAAGGUCGUGACGUGGAGUGGAGAGUCCUCUUGCAGCCAGACAGACAGAACGGGACCAGGCAGAUUAAAACCUUGUAGCCGGAAAGGUCGUGUGUUUCCCGAGAUGAAGAUCCUGUUCGCUCCGCUGAACAUCCCGCUGCGGAGGAGACUCCAGACAGCCGCCGUGCUGCAGUGGGUCUUCUCUUUCCUUGCGCUAGCCCAGUGUUGUCUAGCAGGGUAUGUGUUGCUGUGCGUCUCUGAUUGGUGGGUUCUGGCGGCGCUGUAUGCUGGUUGGCUGUAUCUGGACAGGGACACACCCACCAGCGGGGGUCGGAGGUCAGAGUGGCUUCGGAACUGCAGUGUCUGGAAACACUUCAGAGACUACUUCCCUCUAAAUCUCAUAAAGACGGUGGAUCUGGACCCUGGUUCUAACUACAUCUUUGGGUUCCACCCCCAUGGUGUUCUGGUGGCGGGGGGUUUUGGGAACUUCUGUACGGAGGCGUCAGGGUUCACCUCGCUGUUCCCUGGAAUGACCCCCUACCUCCUGAUGCUGCCAUUCUGGUUCAGAGUACCCUUCUUCAGAGACUACAUCAUGUGUGGAGGUCUGGUAUCCAGUGAGAAAGCCAGCCUGUCCUACCUGCUCUCAGCUCCUAGAGGAGGUAAUGUGGCGGUGGUGGCUAUAGGGGGCGCUCCAGAGGCUCUAGACGCCCGGCCAGGUGCUCUCACCCUUCAGAUUCUACACCGCAAGGGAUUCAUCAAACUGGCACUAAAACACGGGGCCCAGCUAGUACCUGUGUUCUCCUUUGGGGAGAAUGAGCUCUUCGACCAGAUGACCAACCCUGCCGGUUCGCCGCUCCGCUGGCUCCAGGACCACUUGCAAAGGCUCAUGGGAGUGGCGCUGCCAAUGUUCACCGGACGAGGAGUGUUCCAAUACAGCUUCGGUCUACUGCCCUACAGAGAGCCCAUACACACUGUUGUGGGUAGGCCUAUUCCAGUGGUCCAGACCCCCUCUCCCACUAAAGAUGAUAUAGACUGUCUCCAUUCUCUCUACCUGGAGGGCCUCACUACGGUGUUUGAAGACAACAAGGACAACUACGGCAUUGCACCAGACAAACACCUCCACUUCAUCUAGAUAUGUGCAUCCACACCUGUAAUCAGCAGGAAAAUAAGCUUUACAGACAAAUCCAAAGCAGUUGCAACACCUUCUAGGUAAGAGUUCUAGCUGAAGGUUAGGCUUCUGUAGGAUCCUGUGGCGUUAUGUAGAGUUCUGUGGAGUUGAUGUAGGGUUCUAGAGGGUCCUGUCUGGUUCUAGAGGGUCCUGUCUGGUUCUAGAGGGUUAUAGAGGGUCCUGUAGGGUUCUAUAGAGUUAUGUAGGGUUCUAGGGGGUUAUGUAGGAUCCUGUAAAGUUAUGUAGGGUUCUAGAGGGUCCUGUAGGGUCAUCUGUAGGGUUCUAGAGGGUUCUGUAGGAUUAGUUGGGGUUCUGUAGGAUUAGUUGGGGUUCUGUAGGAUUAGUUGGGGUUCUGUAGGAUUAGUUGGGGUUUUGUAGGAUUAGUUGGUGUUCUAGAGGGUUCUGUUGGGUUCUAUAGAGUUAUGUAGGGUUCUAGAGUGUCCUGUAGGGUCAUCUGUAGGGUUCUAGAGGGUUCUGUAGGAUUAGUUGGGGUUCUGUAGGAUUAGUUGGGGUUCUGUAGGAUUAGUUGGGGUUCUGUAGGAUUAGUUGGGGUUCUGUAGGAUUAGUUGGGGUUCUGUAGGAUUAGUUGGGGUUUUGUAGGAUUAGUUAAGGUUCUGUAGGAUUAGUUGGGGUUCUGUAGGAUUAGUUGGGGUUCUAGAGGGUUCUGUUGGGUUCUAUAGAGUUAUGUAGGGUUCUAGAGUGUCCUGUAGUGUUGUGUAGGGUUCUAGAGGGUCAUGUAGGAUUCUGUGGGGUCCUGUAGGGUUAGUUAGUACCAAGAUGGUGGGCAGUAAGACGUGUUUGUUUUUGUCCCAUGUAAAUAUUAUUAUUAUUAUUAUUAUUAUUAUUAUUAUUAUUAUUAUUAUAUUUUUUGUUGUAUACAUUUCAUUAUAUUUCAAUCUCUUUUUUUUCUCUCCAUU